UACGCUCAGGCCCGGGAGGAGGGCACUA
rnacentral:sRNA from 1 species